rnacentral:rRNA from 1 species
GACGUAGGGGGCAAGCGUUGUCCGGAAUCACUGGGCGUAAAGGGCGCGUAGGCGGUUACUCAAGUCCGAUGUGAAAAGUCACGGCUCAACUGUGAUCGUGCAUCGGAUACUGGGUUGACUUGAGGUCGGUAGAGGCAAGUGGAACUAGCGGUGUAGCGGUGAAAUGCACAGAUAUCGCUAGGAACGCCGGUGGCGAAGGCGACUUGCUGGGCCGCACCUGACGCUGAGGCGCGAAAGCUAGGGGAGCGAACCGG